AACGAACGCUGGCGGCAUGCCUAACACAUGCAAGUCGAACGAGACCUUCGGGUCUAGUGGCGCACGGGUGCGUAACGCGUGGGAACCUGCCCUUAGGUUCGGACUAACUCCCCGAAAGGGGUGCUAAUACCGGAUAAUGUCUUCGGACCAAAGAUUUAUCGCCUUUGUAUGGGCCCGCGUUGGAUUCGCUCGUUGGUAGGGUAAAAGCCUCACAAGGCGACGAUCCAUAGCUGGUUUGAGAGGAUGAUCAGCCACACUAGGACGGAGACACGGCCCAGAAUCCUACGCGAUGCAGCAGUGGGGGAUAUUGGACCAUGGGCGAAAGCCUGAUCGAGCAAUGCCGCGUGAGUGAUGAAGGCCUUAGGGUUGUAAAGCUCUUUUACCCGGGAUGAUAAUGACAGUACCGGGAGAAUAAGCUCCGGCUAACUCCGUG
rnacentral:rRNA from 1 species